ACUAAUCCUGCACACAACACUGACUUGUAAUGUUAUCAGUUAUUAAUGGGUACAACAAUGUGGAAAUGUAGCAACUGUAAAAGAAUUGUAGAACACAAUGCAGAUCACACACCAGUAGGAGUACAACAACAUAGGAAGUUGUGAUAAUAAUUUCAUUGCCACAGUUCUUGCUUUUAUGCUAUAAAACACUCCCAGAUGCUCCCUAUGGUUACACAUACUACAGAGGUUUCAUGCAGGACCUUAUAGAUACGUCAUAUUAAAGUACUUUUAAAGUUAAAUUGGUUACCUUUUACAAUUAACACUGUCCAUUUUUCUUUAUUUCCUCCAGACCCCAUCCAUUUAAGGACUCUGGGUAUCCACUGCUGCAGAAACACAUAAGCUACACGAUGUGUAAUGUAGUUGUAUUUGAAAAAAACUAAUGAAGUUGAGGUGGUCCCUGCUGCGUGGAUCUACAAUGGCCAGUGUUAUUGGCCUCCUUGUAAGAGUGCUGACACUGCGAGAGCAGUUAAAUCCCUAAAGCAGCCAGGAGAGGGAUGGUCAAUUUAUGCUGUUCACACAAUUGACCCAGCACGUACCUUUUAAUGAAGCACGCUUGAAGCUCCCUGAUGCAGUCAAUACUACUGACCUCAGCAU